rnacentral:rRNA from 1 species
UCGUGCCAGCAGCCGCGGUAAUACGAAGGUCCCGAGCGUUGUUCGGAAUCACUGGGCGUAAAGGGAGCGUAGGCGGCGUGGUAAGUCAGAUGUGAAAUCCCGGGGCUCAACCCCGGAACUGCAUCCGAUACUGCCGUGCUAGAGUCCGCGAGAGGAAGAUGGAAUUGUGCGUGUAGAGGUGAAAUUCGUAGAUAUGCACAAGAACACCGGUGGCGAAGGCGAUCUUCUGGAGCGGUACUGACGCUAAGGCACGAAAGUGUGGGGAGCAAACAGGAUUAGAUACCCUGGUAGUCCACACUGUAAACGAUGAAUGUUAGAUGUCGGGGGGAUACCCCUCGGUAUCGCAGCUAACGCAUUAAACAUUCCGCCUGGGGAGUACGGUCGCAAGAUUAAAACUCAAAGGAAUUGACGGGGACCCGCACAAGCGGUGGAGUAUGUGGUUUAAUUCGAAGCAACGCGCAGAACCUUACCAACCCUUGACAUGGGACGUAUAGGCUUCAGAGAUGAGGUCUUUCACUUCGGGUGGCGUCCACACAGGUGCUGCAUGGCUGUCGUCAGCUCGUGUCGUGAGAUGUUGGGUUAAGUCCCGCAACGAGCGCAACCCUCAUCCUUAGUUGCCAUCAGGUUUGGCUGGGCACUUUAAGGAAACUGCCGGUGAUAAGCCGGAGGAAGGUGGGGAUGACGUCAAAGUCCUCAUGGCCCUUAUGGGUUGGGCUACACACGUACUA